CCUACGGGCGGCAGCAGUGAGGAAUAUUGGUCAAUGGGCGGAAGCCUGAACCAGCCAAGUAGCGUGCAGGAUGACGGCCCUACGGGUUGUAAACCUCUUUUGUCAGGGAGCAAAGGCGUCCACGAGUGGACGAAAGGAGAGUACCUGAAGAAAAAGCAUCGGCUAACUCCGUGCCAGCAGCCGCGGUAAUACGGAGGAUGCGAGCGUUAUCCGGAUUUAUUGGGUUGAAAGGGAGCGUAGAUGGGUUGUUAAGUCAGUUGUGAAAGUUUGCGGGUCAACCGUAAAAUUGCAAUUGAUACUGGCAGCCUUGAGUACAGUUGAGGUAGGCGGAAUUCGUGGUGUAGCGGUGAAAUGCUUAGAUAUCACGAAGAACUCCGAUUGCGAAGGCAGCCUACUAAACUGCCACUGACGUUGAUGCUCGAAAGUGUGGGUAUCAAACAGGAUUAGAUACCCUUGUAGUC
rnacentral:rRNA from 1 species